rnacentral:rRNA from 1 species
GACAGAGGGUGCAAACGUUGUUCGGAAUUACUGGGCGUAAAGCGAGUGUAGGCGGUUCGGUAAGUCGGAUGUGAAAGCCCCGGGCUCAACCCGGGAAGUGCACUCGAUACUGCCGAGCUAGAGUGUCGGAGAGGUUGGUGGAAUUCUCGGUGUAGAGGUGAAAUUCGUAGAUAUCGAGAGGAACACCGGUGGCGAAGGCGGCCAACUGGACGAACACUGACGCUGAGUGAGCGAAAGCCAGGGGAGCAAACGGG